rnacentral:rRNA from 1 species
AUGGCUUCUCGUGCCAUUAUCAUCCUCGUGUCUGCCUUGCUCUUCUUCUCGGUGCUCGCGGUCUACCUUCCCGCUGCUUCACGUGCUCGCCAUGCUGCGGCGCUCAACGCGAAAGAUGGUAUCAACUCUGGAGGACGACUGCAUCGUGUUCGUGUGGUGCCUAGUGGCGCGGUGAAGGCUGGCCCCGUCACGAGCGCAUCCGGCGGCUCAGGGCCGAGAAUGGCCACGACUGAGCACCCGGACGACACGGACGCGGCUGCCGAGACGCUCAGGAAAGAUUACAGUUACAGGGGUCCGAGGCGCCCAGGCAGCCCCCUUAUCCACGCGCCGUGA